rnacentral:rRNA from 1 species
AUUGAACGCUGGCGGCAUGCCUUACACAUGCAAGUCGAACGGCAGCACGGGGGCAACCCUGGUGGCGAGUGGCGAACGGGUGAGUAAUACAUCGGAACGUGCCCCGUAGCGGGGACAACCAGUCGAAAGACUGGCUAAUACCGCAUACGCUCCACGGAGGAAAGCAGGGGAUCGCAAGACCUUGCACUAUGGGAGCGGCCGAUGCCCGAUUAGCUAGUUGGU